rnacentral:sRNA from 1 species
AUCAAUAAGCGGAGGAAAAAGAAACCNAACAGGGAUUGCCCUAGUAACGGCGAGUGAAGCGGCAUCAGCUCAAAUUUGAAAUCUGGCUCUUUCAGGGUCCGAGUUGUAAUUUGCAGAGGGCGCUUUGGCGUUGGCAGCGGUCCAAGUUCCUUGGAACAGGACGUCACAGAGGGUGAGAAUCCCGUACGUGGUCGCUGGCCUUCGCCGUGUAAAGCCCCUUCGACGAGUCGAGUUGUUUGGGAAUGCAGCUCUAAAUGGGAGGUAAAUUUCUUCUAAAGCUAAAUACUGGCCAGAGACCGAUAGCGCACAAGUAGAGUGAUCGAAAGAUGAAAAGCACUUUGGAAAGAGAGUCAAAUAGCACGUGAAAUUGUUGAAAGGGAAGCGCUUGCAGCCAGACUUGCCUGUAGUUGCUCAUCCGGGCUUUUGCCCGGUGCACUCUUCUGCGGGCAGGCCAGCAUCAGUCUGGGCGGUUGGAUAAAGGCCUCUGUCACGUACCUCCUUUCGGGGAGGCCUUAUAGGGGAGGCGUAAUGCAACCAGCCUGGACUGAGGUCCGCGCAUCUGCUAGGAUGCUGGCGUAAUGGCUGUAAGCGGCCCGUCUUGAAACACGGACCAAGGAGUCUAACAUCUAUGCGAGUGUUUGGGUGUCAAGCCCGAGCGCGUAAUGAAAGUGAACGGAGGUGGGAUCCCUUUAGGGUGCACCAUCGACCGAUCCUGAUGUCUUCGGAUGGAUUUGAGUAAGAGCAUGGCUGUUGGGACCCGAAAGAUGGUGAACUAUGCUUGAAUAGGGUGAAGCCAGAGGAAACUCUGGUGGAGGCUCGCAGCGGUUCUGACGUGCAAAUCGAUCGUCAAAUUUGGGCAUAGGGGCGAAAGACUAAUCGAACUAUCU